rnacentral:rRNA from 1 species
UGGGGAAUUUUGCACAAUGGGGGAAACCCUGAUGCAGCGACGCCGCGUGAUUUAGAAGGCCUUCGGGUUGUAAAAAUCUUUUCUAUGGGAAGAAAAUGACAGUACCAUAGGAAUAAGGACCGGCUAAUUACGUGCCAGCAGCCGCGGUAAUACGUAAGGUCCGAGCGUUGUCCGGAAUCCUUGGGCGUAAAGGGUACGUAGGCGGGUAAGCAAGUUAGAAGUGAAAUCCUAUAGCUCAACUAUAGUAAGCUUUUAAAACUGCUCAUCUUGAGGUAUGGAAGGGAAAGUGGAAUUCCUAGUGUAGCGGUGAAAUGCGCAGAUAUUAGGAGGAAUACCGGUGGCGAAGGCGACUUUCUGGCCAUAGCCUGACGCUGAGGUACGAAAGCGUGGGUAGCAAACAGG